rnacentral:lncRNA from 1 species
CCGAAACUUAUAAGGCUAUAAUUUUGCUCAAUGUAAUUCCUGAUUCCUAUAAAGAAGUUAAGAACGCCAUUAAGUAUGGUAGAGACACGUUAACACCUGAAAUUGUCAUAGAUUCCCUUAGAAGUAAAGAAAUGAAAAUUAGAGCUGAAAAACAUGAUAAGAGGAACGGUGAGGUACAUAUGAUGCGGGGUAGAACUCAAUUUAGGCAAAAUAGUCAUGAGAGAUAUCAAACCAGUGACAAGUCAAGUGGUAAUGGAUGGAAAAAGAAGAGCAAAGGCAGGUCUAGAUCAAAAUCUAGGACUAAGGCGAGAAAAUGCUAUGGUUGUGGAAAUACAGGGCAUUUUAUAAAAGAUUGUCAUAAGGAGAAGGGUAAGUUAAAGGUUAAGGAGAGAGAUGAGGUAAAUGUGUUAGCAUCUACUUCAGAUAUAAGUGGUGGUGAGGUUUAUAUGAUUACAAGUCUAGUUGCAUACACUGCUGAAUUAAAUCUAACUGCUAAUUCCAGUAUGCAUGAGUGGAUACUUGAUUCUGGUGCAUCUUUUCAUGUGAUGUCUGAAAAGAAUUGAUUUUAUAAGUUGCAUGAAUCUAAUGUUGGGCAUGUUGUACUAUGUGAUAACUUUGCCUAUACUAUUGCUGGAAUUGGUGACAUAAACAUAAAAUUUGACACAGGUUUUGUGUAUACGUUAAGGGAUGUUAGAUAUAUUCCUGAGUUAUCUAAGAAUCUGAUUUCAGUAGGGAGACUUGAGAAGGAUGACUUUACUGGUAAAAUUGGAAAUGGUAUGCUAAAAAUGAUCAAGUAGGGGUUAAGGGACUUAAACUCCUUAAUGAAAAGGGUACUUUUUGUAAUGAAUGUGUGUCAGAUUUGCCUUUUUGUGAUCAUUGUGUGCUUGGUAAGCAUUAUAAAACUUCUUUCUCCGCGAGUGUUAAUAGAGCUAAAGGCAUGCUUGAAUAUGUGCACUCUGAUCUAUGGGGUCCUGCUAGUAAUCCCACA